ACUGAAGAUUGUGACAUAUUACUGAGCCCAUAAACUAGGUGACAUGACUGUGCUCCCCGGCCUAAGGCAUAAUUAAAGGGGACGUUGAGACAUAUUGCUGUGCCCAGCACCUAUGUGAUGUGACCCUCCUUUACUGCCCAGGCUGUGCCUAAAAGAAAUUGUUACAUAUCGUGGAGCCAAGAUCCCAGUUGAUUUAACUUUCCUCCUGGGCCCUGCUGACAUGGGAAAUAUUGGCAUAUUCCUUGCCUAGCACUCAGUUUGUUUGAACUCAGCCAACUGUUGGGACUGUGACAUAUACCUGGACCAAGUUCCUAGGUGAUGUAACUCUCCAGCCUGGGACUUACCACACGGUGGUUUGGUGACUCUGGAACCAUGAUUCAGCAGACCUGUGAGGCUGUGAGUUCCCUAUCAGAACACAAUCUGCAGGUUGUAUUGUGUCAUAUACCUGGGACCAAAUUACAAGCACAAUGAUGAAUCUUUUACCUGGAGUCAAGACAUGGGCAGGAUGAUGGAACUUAUCACUGGACCUUUCCACAGCGUUAUUGUGACAUAUGCCUUUGUCCAACAUGUGGUGAUUUGACUCUCCAGACUGGGCCGAGUUCACAAAUAAAAUUGUGCCAUAUACUUGGGCCAAG